AUUGAACGCUGGCGGCAGGCCUAACACAUGCAAGUCGAACGAGUGGCGGACGGUUGAGUAAUGUCUGGGAAACUGCCUGAUGGAGGGGGAUAACUACUGGAAACGGUAGCUAAUACCGCAUACCUUCCGCUGUUCCCUGAUGGGAUUAGCUAGUUGGCGGGGUAACGGCUCACCAAGGCGACGAACCCUAGCUGGUCCGAGAGGAUGACCAGCCAUACGGGCACUGAGGCACGGUCCAGACUCCUACGGGGGGCAGGAGUGGGGAAUAGUGCGAAAUGGGGGCGAUCCUGAUGGUGCCAUGCAGAGUGUAUGAAGAAGGCCUGCGGGUUGUAAAGUACUAUAAGCGGGGAGGCGUUACACGCAGAAGAAGCACAGGCUAACUCCGUGCCAGCAGCCGCGGUAAUAC
rnacentral:rRNA from 1 species